CCGAGAGUCGUUGAGGAAAUCGAAUACACUCAAUUGCCUAAUCGGCGGCCGAUUAGAUAAUCGAGUUUGUUGGGCGAGUCGACGUGACAAUUAACAGCGUUCGUUUCGACGGCGGUCGUCGGUGUUACGUUACGUUACGGCAGACGUUUUCGUCGUUUUUCGUGUUUCAUUUUAGAUUCUGAGCGGCAGUGGCGCAACAUGAACUUCCGAUGCCCGCGUUCGAAACGUUGUGUAGGUUAACCGUAUUACG